rnacentral:rRNA from 1 species
AUACGGAGGGUGCAAGCGUUAAUCGGAAUUACUGGGCGUAAAGGGUUCGUAGGCGGUUAUUUAAGUCAGAUGUGAAAGCCCCGGGCUCAUCCUGGGAAUUGCAUCUGAUACUGGGUAACUAGAGUUUAAGAGAGGAGUGUGGAAUUUCCGGUGUAGCGGUGAAAUGCAUAGAGAUCGGAAGGAACAUCAGUGGCGAAGGCGGCACUCUGGCUUAAAACUGACGCUGAGGAACGAAAGCGUGGGUAGCAAACAGGAUUAGAACCCCUAGUAGUCC